CUCGUAGGCGGUCUGUCGCGUCUGGUGUGAAAUCCCGAGGCUCAACCUCGGGCUUGCAUCGGGUACGGGCAGACUAGAGUACUGUAGGGGAGACUGGAAUUCCUGGUGUAGCGGUGGAAUGCGCAGAUAUCAGGAGGAACACCGAUGGCGAAGGCAGGUCUCUGGGCAGUUACUGACGCUGAGGAGCGAAAGCAUGGGGAGCGAACA
rnacentral:rRNA from 1 species